UACGUAGGGGCUAGCGUUAUCCGGAAUUACUGGGCGUAAAGGGUGCGUAGGUGGUUUCUUAAGUCAGAGGUGAAAGGCUACGGCUCAACCGUAGUAAGCCUUUGAAACUGAGAAACUUGAGUGCAGGAGAGGAGAGUAGAAUUCCUAGUGUAGCGGUGAAAUGCGUAGAUAUUAGGAGGAAUACCAGUUGCGAAGGCGGCUCUCUGGACUGUAACUGACACUGAGGCACGAAAGCGUGGGGAGCAAACAGGAUUAGAUACCCGGGUAGUCCCUGAGCGGG
rnacentral:rRNA from 1 species